rfam:Bombyx mori DNA, contig: Bm_scaf1_contig454, strain: p50T/Dazao, build 2, whole genome shotgun sequence.
AUGAAGUCCAAAGCAGCUGCUGGCCACUGCACAAGAUUAGUCAAGUUUAUACUCUUGUGCGUGUGACAGCGGCUAUUGCGGGCAUUUCAUUGGCUGCG